rnacentral:rRNA from 1 species
UUCGCUCUCAACCCUUUGUGACAUACCUAUAACUGUUGCUUCGGCGGGUAGGGUCUCCGCGACCCUCCCGGCCUCCCGCCCCCGGGCGGGUCGGCGCCCGCCGGAGGAUAACCAAACUCUGAUUUAACGACGUUUCUUCUGAGUGGUACAAGCAAAUAAUCAAAACUUUUAACAACGGAUCUCUUGGUUCUGGCAUCGAUGAAGAACGCAGCGAAAUGCGAUAAGUAAUGUGAAUUGCAGAAUUCAGUGAAUCAUCGAAUCUUUGAACGCACAUUGCGCCCGCCAGCAUUCUGGCGGGCAUGCCUGUUCGAGCGUCAUUUCAACCCUCAAGCUCUGCUUGGUGUUGGGGCCCUACAGCCGAUGUAGGCCCUCAAAGGUAGUGGCGGACCCUCCCGGAGCCUCCUUUGCGUAGUAACUUUACGUCUCGCACUGGGAUCCGGAGGGACUCUUGCCGUAAAACCCCCCAAUUUUCCAAAGGUUGACCUCGGAUCAGGUAGGAAUACCCGCUGAACUUAAGCAUAUCAAUAAGCGGAGGAA